AACACAAGCAGCAAAUGAAAACAAAGCAAGAGGUACGAAAUGAACAGCAAGACUGUGCCAUACCACUGAAUGAAAUGCAAGAUCAAGGCGUGGGAAUCUCAAGUAAUGUCGCAAAUGGGGAGGAAAUGCCUAGAGUGCAGGCAUCCUGUUUACAAGAUGGGAUACUUUGAAUGGAGUCAACGUAAACUUGUCCAAAAGCAUUAACCCCGUGAUGUCCGAGCAUUUACCCCGUCAGACAGGGGAAACAUUGCAACCAUUCACAAAAUAACCAUGAGGGAGCUAUUUGCUGUAAAAUGUGCUGUAAAUGUAUUAAUGGCGCUGUCUGUAUUGGGCUUGCAAGCAAUUGAUGGGAUGAGUGUCUUGCAGAGAAUUGAUGAAGUUAAUCUAGUCCGGGACACGGCGCCAGAGGCCCGGGUUCGAUCCCGACUACGGGUGCUGCCUGUGCAGAGUCCAUCGAUCGCCCCAUACACUCACACUAUACCUACACACUUGUGCGUUCUCCCCGUGGUU